UACGUAGGGUGCGAGCGUUAAUCGGAAUCAUUGGGCGUAAAGCGGGCGUAGGUGGCUAUGUAAGUCAGGAGUGAAAGCCCUGGGCUCAACCCAGGAAGUGCUUUUGAAACUGCGUAGCUUGAGUGUGGAAGAGGAUAGUGGAAUUCCAGGUGUAGUGGUGAAAUACGUAGAUAUCUGGAGGAACACCGGUGGCGAAGGCGGCUAUCUGGUCCAACACUGACACUGAGGCCCGAAAGCGUGGGGAUCAAACAGG
rnacentral:rRNA from 1 species